GCAGCCCACGCACUUGGCACAGAAACAAGUGUUUUUCUGGGAAAAACAGGGGGUGCAAGGGCAGGAUACAAGUGCCCCUGCUAUCUGCAGGCAGCCGUCCCUGCUCUCGGUAUCUCCUCCUGGAUACGGGCCCUCCUCCAGGGGCAUUUUCAUAGACGGCUGGGAGGGGACUUCCCAGCACCGUGUUUAGCCUGAUAUUUCAUCUCUCCCCUCCGUGGAGAGAGCGGUCCCUCUCUGGCCUUUUAAUCUCCCUUCUGGAAAACAGCCUGGGGACGGUGAAGAAGAUGACCUUUAAAAGAAGACCCAUGGAUUGCCACCACGAUGCCUAGACAGCAUGGAAUCUAGAGUGCCCAGAAUGAUCUAUUUCAGCCCUUCCUCCUCUUGGAUCUUUGAGGAGAGCCAGAAGAAUCUGAAGUCGGUCUGUGAAAGGAGGCAGAGACUUAAUGACUAUCCACCACACGUCGCUGAUCAGCACCUGCUGAGCGUCUCCAUUCCUCUGCACUUGCCCAGGAGAUUUACAAACUCAGCUUCACCUGCAGAGCCAGACAGCACCCCCAACUCUUCCCCUGAUACCCCCCAAAAGAUGUACCCAAUUAUUCCAGUAGCCAGCAGCCCAUAAGCGGUAAAGAUGCUGGUGCUUAGACAAAACACCCAUCCUGCUGCAUCGCGAGUGGGCUAUGUCCAGUGCUGGCUGCAAAGCAGCUCACAAACAGGGAACAAAAGGGAGGGUAGGGCAGAGGGGGGAGGUUCAGUACCUGGCAGUCAUAAACAGGGUGUCCUCUCCAGCACAUCACAUCGAGGAUAUAGUACGUCUGCUUUGCCUCAUUGUAGAUGCAGUCCAAGAUGCAGUACACUGCGCAAACACACACAGGGCGGUCCAGACAUGCUCCAGAAGCUGCCUAACCCAACAGGCAAAUGCCCGAUCACAUGCCCUGAUGUAAGGCUGCAAGGUGCAGAGGGAUCCCCUUCUGCUAAUAGAAGCUGCAACCACAAAAAUCCUUUAGCUUGAGGAGUCCAACAAGGCUACAAAGGUACCAGCCAGAGGCAGAGCAAGCAAAGGCAUGCUUCAGAAAAUGGCAUUUAGCGAACAGUAACCCCUCCUCAGGGCAAGAAAGCAACUGCAAGAGGUAUUAAGAAAGACCACAGCGUACACAGCUCUGUCGGAAGACAGAGACGAUGUUGAGGUUUAAGAGAGUCAGUUAACCAGGCAGCUAAUUAAAAGACAUUAUUACCUAGCAUAAAGGUUUCUGAUAUUGUCCACGUCUACUUAUCCUCAGAGAUAUAUGAACAGGCCUGAAGCUAACUGCCCCGAGCACCAGAAAAGGGCACAGCUCCGGGGCUCGGGGGAGCUGGAGGAGCAGCACCAAGCCUGCCGGUGCACGCACACACAGGGAGAAGCAGGCGGUUCCCCUCUCUCUAUCCCCAAAACCUCUUCAGACCAUUACCUUUCUCGCUCGUUGAAUUGUGCCGGUUCCCUCCCGGCAGCAGGGAUGGGAACCUGUUGACACAGAAGCCACUUUUGGUGUAAGCUGCUGUUGUGCCCUGUGAGGAAGCGGGAGAGAAAAAAGAAAAAAGAAAAAAAAAAGUAGUCAAGCAAGGCACAUGGGCCAGUCUUACAUUGGCUGGGCAACAGGUACAGGUCCUUUACCAAAUGGUGAGACAUCACCACUGCUGCUGCUUACCCUGGACGCCACAACAAGCGCCCUUUUCCCAACAGGACACACCACUACAACCCACUCCUGCUCCAGAUCCAAGGGGACAUCAACCAGCCAUUCUGACAGCAUCAGCUAGGGAGAAAUCCGGGAAAAAAAAUAAUCAGUUAGUAACAACUCUCCUGAAGUUAUGGAAAACUCACAGCUCAAGGAUAAAGCAAGAAGGUUUCAACUUGGCUUCAA